GUAGCGUGUCGCGUCUGCUGUGAAAACUCGGGCUUACCCCGGGCCUGCAGUGGGUACGAGCAGACUAGAGUGCGUAGGAGAAGACUAGAAUUCCUGGUGUAGCGAUGAAAUGCGCAGAUAUCAGGAAGAACACCGGUGGCGAAGGCAGGUCUCUGAGCCCGUAACUGACGCUGAGAAGCGAAAGCGUGGAGAGCGAACAGGAUUAGAUACCCUGAGUAGUGCACGCCGUAAACGUUGGGCGCUAGGUGUAGAGGCUCUUUCCACGAGUUCCGUGCCGCAGCAAACGCAUUAAGCGCCCCGCCUGGAGAGUACGGCCGCAAGGCUAAAACUCAAAGGAAUUGACGGGGGCCCGCACAAGCGGCGGAGCAUGCGGAUUAAUUCGAUGCAACGCGAAGAACCUUACCAAGGCUUGACAUGGGCAGAAAUCCGGCAGAGAUGUCGGGUCCGCAAGGGCUGCUCACAGGUGGUGCAUGGUUGUCGUCAGCUCGUGUCGUGAGAUGUUGGGUUAAGUCCCGCAACGAGCGCAACCCUCGUUCUAUGUU
rnacentral:rRNA from 1 species